rnacentral:rRNA from 1 species
GGAAUAUUGGACAAUGGGCGCAAGCCUGAUCCAGCCAUGCCGCGUGAGUGAAGAAGGCCUUCGGGUCGUAAAGCUCUUUCACCGGUGAAGAUAAUGACGGUAACCGGAGAAGAAGCCCCGGCUAACUUCGUGCAAGCAGCCGCGGUAAUACGAAGGGGGCUAGCGUUGUUCGGAAUUACUGGGCGUAAAGCGCACGUAGGCGGAUCGGUCAGUUAGGGGUGAAAUCCCGGGGCUCAACCCCGGAACUGCCUUUAAUACUGCUGAUCUGGAGUCCGAGAGAGGUGAGUGGAAUUCCGAGUGUAGAGGUGAAAUUCGUAGAUAUUCGGAGGAACACCAGUGGCGAAGGCGGCUCACUGGCUCGGUACUGACGCUGAGGUGCGAAAGCGUGGGGAGCAAA